rnacentral:lncRNA from 1 species
AGGAUGCCAGCCCACGGAAUGGUGCCGCCCACAUCCAGGGUGGUUCCUCCGUCUUUCGUUGAACCUUUCUGGAAACACUCUUGCCAACACCCUCAGAGACGCAUCUCCGUCCGAGGUGAUCCCAAAUCCAGUUCCUAGGUUUGAGCUCAGGUCCUGUGCUUGUACAAGAAUCACUUUACUGACUGAAGUGUUACUCUGCCCAGUUACUGAGUUCUUACAAGAAAAACUAGGGCACUGAACAAGAACUGGACUCUGAAACUUGGAAUGGGCACAUCUGAAUGGGCUGAGGUGAGGACCCCUACUCCUUCAAGUGCAUUUGGGGACACUAGCCUUUCUCGCUUG